rnacentral:snRNA from 1 species
GGAUGUGAGGGCGAUCUGGCUGCGACAUCUGUCACCCCAUUGAUCGCCAGGGUUGAUUCGGCUGAUCUGGCUGGCUAGGCGGGUGUCCCCUUCCUCCCUCACCGCUCCAUGUGCGUCCCUCCCGAAGCUGCGCGCUCGGUCGAAGAGGACGACCAUCCCCGAUAGAGGAGACGACCGUUCUUCGGUCAAGGGUAUACGAGUAGCUGCGCUCCCCUGCUAGAACCUCCAAACAAGCUCUCAAGGUCCAUAGGGAGGUGCAGUCACUAUAAACACCCUCCUUU